rnacentral:rRNA from 1 species
GAUGAACGCUGACAGAAUGCUUAACACAUGCAAGUCAACUUGAAUUUGGGUUUUUAACUUAGGUUUGGGUGGCGGACGGGUGAGUAACGCGUAAAGAACUUGCCUCACAGCUAGGGACAACUUUUGAAAACGAAUGCUAAUACCUACUAUUAUGAUAAUAGGACAUCCUAUAAUUAUGAAAGCUAUAAGCGCUGUGAGAGAGCUUUGCGUCCCAUUAGCUAGUUGGGGAGGUAACGGCUCACCAAGGCGAUGAUGGGUAGCCGGCCUGAGAGGGUGAUCGGCCACAAGGGGACUGAGACACGGCCCUUACCACUACGGGACGCAGGAGUGGAGAAUAUUGGACAAUGGACCAAGAGUCUGAUCCAGCAAUUCUGUGUGCACGAUGAAGUUUUUCGGAAUGUAAAGAGCUUUCAGUUGGGAAGAAAGAAAUGACGGUACCAACAGAAGAAGUGACGGCUAAAUACGUG